AAAAUUACAAAAUUACAAUAAUGCCUAAACUCUAAAUCAUAUCCUCUCUCUCAUGCGCACGCUGCUCUCUCUCACUAGAAGAUCAGAAAUUGCCGCUAAGCUUUUCUUUUAGCUCUAACUCAUCCUGGGCGAUUCUUAUUAUUCUUGGCCACUAAGGUGGCUUUUGACCAAGAGAACCAGCUAGAAGAAAAGGUACCACCGAAAGAAGGUCGACCUCACCCCCUUUGCUAAACCGAAGCAGAGUAAGAGGAAGAAGCAAAGCUAGGCCAUUUGUUCUCACCUGUGUGUACAAUCCUCAAGAAGGAAUAUACAAAAGAACCUUAUUCUUUUUUGCAUCUCCCAAGUUCGAAUGCUUUUAUGCUGUUAACUCUUGCUGCAUUGCGUCGCGCCGCCGCUGUGUCGCCCUUGUCUUUCCGUCUUGCGCCGCUGCUGCCUCGCCUCGCCUGUUUGUCGUCAAAACUCCAAAGUUAUUACAAGUUAAUGAGUCUUCAAGUUCAAGUUUGGGAGAAACUCGCUCUGAUAGAUGAUACCAGAAAUGGGAGUCAUAAGUUGUAUUUUAUUUAUUUAAUUAGAAACAACUCUUUUAUGAAAACCCUACUAUUUUAAAAGAGGAAAAAUUUAAAGUGUUCCUUUUGAAUUUUGAGAAAUGUGAUAUUCUAAA